UACGUAGGGACCAAGCGUUGUUCGGAUUUACUGGGCGUAAAGGGCGCGUAGGCGGCGUGACAAGUCACUUGUGAAAUCUCCGGGCUUAACUCGGAACGGCCAAGUGAUACUGUCGUGCUAGAGUGCAGAAGGGGCAAUCGGAAUUCUUGGUGUAGCGGUGAAAUGCGUAGAUAUCAGGAGGAACACCAAUUGCGAAGGCAGCUCGCUGGGACGUAACUGACGCUGAGACGCGAAAGCGUGGGGAGCAAACAGG
rnacentral:rRNA from 1 species